rnacentral:rRNA from 2 species
UACAGAGGGUGCAAGCGUUAAUCGGAAUUACUGGGCGUAAAGCGCGCGUAGGUGGUUAUGUAAGUUGGAUGUGAAAUCCCCGGGCUCAACCUGGGAACUGCAUCCAAAACUGCAUAGCUAGAGUACGGUAGAGGGUGGUGGAAUUUCCUGUGUAGCGGUGAAAUGCGUAGAUAUAGGAAGGAACACCAGUGGCGAAGGCGACCACCUGGACUGAUACUGACACUGAGGUGCGAAAGCGUGGGGAGCAAACAGG